rnacentral:rRNA from 1 species
UACGGGGGGGGCAAGCGUUGUUCGGAAUUACUGGGCGUAAAGGGCUCGUAGGUGGCCAACUAAGUCAGACGUGAAAUCCCUCGGCUUAACCGGGGAACUGCGUCUGAUACUGGAUGGCUUGAGAUUGGGAGAGGGACGCGGAAUUCCAGGUGUAGCGGUGAAAUGCGUAGAUAUCUGGAGGAACACCGGUGGCGAAGGCGGCAUCCUGGACCAACACUGACACUGAGGAGCGAAAGCCAGGGGAGCAAACGGG